ACCGGGACCCCUCUGGCCCCGACCCCGCAGUGGUCACGCGUUUUUACCCCCGUAUUGCGUUUCUGGCCCUUUGAAAAAGCCCCCGGGACAGUGCCGGCCCCGCUCCCUCCACCCCCGGAGGUUCUGGGGAGGGAUCCCCGUCAUCCUGACCCUUUGAAAAAGCCCCCGGGACAGUGCCGGCCCCGCUCCCUCCACCCCCGGAGGUUCUGGGGAGAAUCCCCACUCUCCUGACCCUUUGAAAAAGCCCCCGGGACAGUGCCGGCCCCGCUCCCUCCACCCCCGGAGGUUCUGGGGAGGAUCCCCACCAUCCUGACCCUUUGAAAAAGCCCCCGGGACAGCGCUGGCCCCGCUCCCUCCACCCCCGGAGGUUCUGGGGAGGGUCUCCACCGUCCUGACCCUUUGAAAAAGCCCCCGGGACAGCGCUGGCCCCGCUCCCUCCACCCCCGGAGGUUCUGGGGAGGAUCCCCACCGUCCUGACCCUUUGAAAAAGCCCCCGGGACAGCGCUGGCCCCGCUCCCUGUGCCCUCCGGAGGUUCUGGGGAGGGAUCCCCGCCAUCCUGACCCUUUGAAAAAGCCCCCGGGACAGCGCCGGCCCCGCUCCCUGUGCCCUCCGGAGGUUCUGGGGAGGGUCCCCACUCUUCUGUCCCAUUGAAAAAGCCCCUGGGACAGUGCCCUCCCUGCCCCCCGGAGGUUCUGGGGAGGGUCCCCACUCUUCUGUCCCAUUGAAAAAGCCCCCGGGACAGCGCCGGCCCC